UACGGAGGGUGCAAACGUUGCUCGGAAUCAUUGGGCGUAAAGCGCACGUAGGCGGCCUAUCAAGUCGCGUGUGAAAGCCCCGGGCUCAACCUGGGAAUUGCGCGCGAAACGGGAGGGCUUGAGUUCGGGAGAGGAGCGUGGAAUUCCCAGUGUAGAGGUGAAAUUCGUAGAUAUUGGGAAGAACACCGGUGGCGAAGGCGGCGCUCUGGACCGAGACUGACGCUGAGGCGCGAAAAGCGUGGGGGAGCAAACAGG
rnacentral:rRNA from 1 species